GUAAUUGACGAAGCCCUUUGUGGGGGCUAUCCCAUGAUGCUCUGCCUGCCACAGGCUUCCUUAGCCUGCCUCAGUAUCCAUCUUGCUAUCCUGGGGGCCUCAUCACAGUUGCGCCAGGACUACAAAAUACUGGAUCCGAAUUGACAGCACACCGGCAGCCCAGCAGCUCCGUCUUCUUCCCCACGUGUGGCUGUCGAUUGGCGGUUUUUUUCUCCCUAAUUACCCAUCUGCUAGAGAGGAAAGUAACACCACAUCAUUUAGAAGAAAUGCACCUGUUUAUCGAAAGGCAAGAAUAACCUAGUUUGCAAGGAUCCUUGGCUCUCCAACUUGCCUCCACAGACUCAAUAUCACUGCUGUUUUUCCAGGUGAUCAAAUGACUCUGACUCCAGACUUUCCAAAUCCGUCGUUCAACCUUCAUCUAUCAUUCCCUGCACGUGCUUUACAGCACGAGAGAGGGUUAUAUCACUGAGCAGGCCAGUUCUUCCUUUGAAGUUCUGAGUGUGAACCAGAGCCAUCUUUGUAUUUACUUAGAGAACCGAGGGAGGCCGAAACCCACAGAAGCUGGAGAAACUUUUGAUAUGCGCUGUCAUCAGGAAAGAAACUCUUUCAGGUCUGGUUCCACCACAUCCUGCAAAGUUCAAAACGACAUCGUGCGAAGUUCAAAACGAAUUCUACUUCAGUCUUAUCUCUAGCCUAAGAUACGUAAUUGUAAUUCAUCAAAAAAUAUCAACGGAGUUCUUGAUUGCCAGAAAGCCGUGACUCCUCUGCUGGGGAAGUGUAGGAAUUUUUGCACUUUGCAUCCUACUGAAAUUCUAAGCAGCUUUUGCUGCCACCGUUAAGUGAGGGUCACUUCCUACCUGGAGAACCAGAAAGAUUGGAAACGUCUUGAGGCAGCCGUAAGUUUCUUCGGUCAGCUAUCGUAGCAUGGGAAACAGAGUCCUCCAGCCUUCUCUUAAUGGAUAUGUGCUUCCUUUAAGAAUUAUUUUUUGUCUUGAUGUAGGUGUGUAUGUCUGCAUGGUAGGUGUGUUCAGGUGGCCACGGAAGUGAGAAGGCGGCACUGGUCCCCUGGAACUCUAACAGCUGUGAGCUGCUGUGUGACUACAGGAAUAGAACCUAGUUCUUCCGCUAGGAAGCCAGCGCUCUUAACUACUGAGCCAUCUCUGCAGCCACAUGUGUAUAUGUUUUAAUGACCAUGUGUUCAUGCUAAAACAUGCUACUGAUCAUGUUGUAACAUGCUAUUUAUACUACCACUGAGCCAUCUCUGCAGCCACAUAUGUAUAUGUUUCAAUGACCAUGUGUUCAUGCUAAAACAUGGUACAGAUCAUGUUGUAACAUGCUAUUUAUGCUACCACGCACUCUAAAUUUUAUUAACAUUUUUGGCAAGUACUUUUGUCAAUAAUGGUAUUUUUGUUUGGUUGAUUACUGGCUGAUGACUUAAUUAUCUAGUUAGAAUUAUGUAUUAUGAGGCUGGAGAGCUAGCUCAUUAGUUAAGACAAUUAGCUUCUCUCCUAGAGGAUCCUAGCUCAGUUCCCGGCACCGAGACAACCUGUAUGUCUAGCUCUAGGGCUUUAAUGACCUCCUCUGGUCUCCUCUGACCUCUGUGGGCUCUGCAUCCAUGCAGUACACAGACACUCGAGAACAUUUCUAUACAUACAAUUUAAAAUAGAAUUCUUUUUAACUUUUAAUGUUUUCUAUUUUUCAACAUGGGGUAUAACAUUGUAGAAGUAGGUACUAUUUUUCCCCAGAGGAGGUACGUCCUUGCAGGGAAUAUUAGGUAUAUACUUAGAACCUUUGUGAAUGAAAAUCCAGUUGUUUGGCAAGACUAUUGAUAAGAAAGAAAUAGUUACAAACAAGACACAAAUGAGCUAAGAACACGAUUCUGUUAUUUCUGUUGGUUUGGUUAAUCUUCAAUUUAGUUAUAGGUCAAUGAAUGCAUUUUUUUCCUUAAGAUUUUGUGUUUCCUCUUCUGACUGAAGUGAGUAGUUGGGCCUUCCGAGUAGGAGUCUCACUUUCUCCCUUCGUCUGUGACCCGUGUCAUUGGUAUUCAGGCUUAUGUCUAGCAGGCUACCAGAGCCAACCUCCUGCCUGAGCAGUAGUGAGAGCAGACAUGUUGCUGGUGGCAGGACAGUGUUCCAGGCUUUCUAAUUAAGUGUAGCAUUACAGAUGUUUUAACUGCCUGUUAGCAAGUUGAGCAUUUUCAAUUUCCUCAGAUUUCCUAACCGCUUUUAUUAGAAAUAACUGUUAAACAUUACCAAAUUCUUUUUGUGCUUGGCUAUAGCCACAUAUACUCUUUUUCAUAGUCUGCUUAUCGUGAAUUCCAUCCAUUAACUCUUUAACAUUAUGACACUUAUGAUGCACAUAUGUAUCUAUAUGUAUCUUAUUUCGCAAAUUGCCUAAGUGUUUGUAUAGAAUUUUAUGUCUGAGCAUAUUGUUUAUAUACAAUUUCAUAUCUGAACACCUUUUUCAUCACAUGGAAAAACAGAAUUAUUAUGAAUAUUGAUUUUUAAAAAAGCCAUGAAGAUAAAAUGUCAAAAAAAAAACCAAGAAAGCUCCAGUGUGACUGCUCCUGUGGUGAGGCUCUCGGAGAGGCAGAGUCCUCCCAGCAGGACCAUAUUUUCUAAGACAGAAAUUUGUGUUGUGGUAAAAAUAAAAUCAUCAAGUAGUUAGGCAUAUGUGCUGUGGACAUUCAUGAAUGAUUAAAUUAGAAAAUAUGACAGUCCCUGCUAUUUAAUGGGAACUGAAUAUAAUUGGAAAGAAAACCACAUUCUUUAGUCAUUGUAUCAACUGAUAUUUUGUUUACCAAAUGGCUUUGGCGAGAAUAUGCUCUAAUACUGACAUUUGUUACCCUCCACGGCUCUUGCAUAGGGAGAAAUGCUUGUGGAAUUUCUUUUUUUUUUACUGGCUGGGGGAAAGGCUACCUACUGCAGUCUUAAAAAUGACCAAGUUCUUUCAGAAAAAAAGAAUUUAGGUAUAAAUUGGCACUGAAUUUUAAAAUGUUCCUGGGAUAUAAAACAUUUUCAUAAAAAUGAAUAACUGUGUUAGGAACCUCAGGAUUUAAUUAAAAUGUCCUGAAUUACAACUGUCUUCACUGGCCAUAAAUAUCUACAACCCUCACCACCCCCCUUCUGCAAUAUCUGGCUAUCUCUCUGUCCUAUUUCGUCUCCUGAAUUUAAAUGUUCAUUGUACUUCUUGGAAAUCAGAGUAACACAUAUUUAUCAGAUACGUGUUGGGCUUAGUUGUUGGGGCAUUUGCGUACGUGAUGGCAUGGACGCCCAAGCACACGAGAAUAAGCUCUGUAGCAUAGUCUCAUAUGCCUGUCGCUGUCUAUGCUACCGCCAUAUGCUGUUCCCCUCAGAUUUGCUGAACAUUCCUCUGCACACACAGGGCCAUUUCAGGAAGCCUGCUGCAGACUGUUUUGAGCCAUGUCCACUGACAUUAGUGCUACUUUGAGAGCUGCCCCCGAGGUACUGCCUAGAAAUUUCAGAGACCCUCCUUUCUGCCAGAACAAUUUCAUCGAGAUGAAAUCGAAAUCUGGCUUGAUACUGAGAAGGACAUUUGCGCUUAAUGCCCGUGGAAAAUUCUGUGUUCGCGCACCUAACGGAGCAUAAGAGUUUAUUUUCCGAUCAGCUGCAGAAGUGACAUGGCACUGCCAGCCAAGAUCAGCAGAGACGUGACAUUUACGGGUGGACUGGGAGCAUCUGACAAGGUGGCGCACACCUGCAAUCUCAGAACCUUGGAGGAGGAAGCAACUACAUCCCUGAGAGUCGGUGGACAGUCUGAUCUCCGGGCCAAAUUAGCUUCCCACAUGCUUUUUGCUUGGGAACUGAAACCAGUUUUUCUAAUUAAUGAUUAAUUAAUUUUGUGCUGUGAAGGAUUAGAUACAAGGUCUCAGACUACCACAAAAGCAUUCUACUGCUGGUCUAUAUCCUCUGCCCUUGAUUAUUUUUUAUUUUAAAACAUUUAUUUACUUUAUUGUGUGUGUAUGUGUUGGCCUGCAUGUAUGUAUAGCAUUGAACUUGUUUCUUCCUCAGCCAUCCCAAGUACUGGGUAUACAGACAUGUACCGUCAUGAACAUGUUUUUUAAUGUUAUGAACCCUUCUGUGUACACUUGAUAAAGGCUUGGCAUAGGAGGGAGAAGAGGAGGAAAACCAGUAGUUUUAAGGACAGACAUGUGGGCAUGGGAUGGUUCAGUUCACUCAUGAGAUGCCAUCUUGUGGAUAUGGCAUGGUCAUGAACUCACAGUAGCUGUUAUUUCUGCACAAGAUAUCAACAAGUCCAAGCUGUUCAGAAUUUCAACAUGGAUGUGGUGGGGCAUGAUCCCUGCCCUUGUCAGAGAAGCUAUUAGCAUGGGUAGCCAUGUGGGAAGGAAAAUCAGUCUUCUCUGAAAGUAUGGGCACUGGUACUUUGCCGGUGCUCCAGAGGAUGGGCUCACACCCGUGUACACACGAGCAUCACUAAUUGAGUUUAUGAGUUUUUAACAAAAAAAAAAAAAAAGAAAAAAGAAAAAAGAGGACAUGAAGUUGGA
rnacentral:sRNA from 1 species